rnacentral:rRNA from 1 species
ACGUGCGAAGGAUCAUUACCGAUCAAUCCAAAAGACCGAGAGACAUCUCGACUCUUUUACACCGCGAACAGUAAGAAGGAUUGGGGGUCGCCCCGUAGAGGGCGUCAAACGGUGAGAGCUUCGACCGACUGACUACGGUCGGUCGUCGAUUCUGACGGCCCCCAACGUUAUUUUUACAAACAACAACACACAACUGUGCCAACAGAAAUCACCUGAGCCGUCUCCGGACGACUUGGAAAAAAAUUAAAAGUUCAUAACUUUUAACGGUGGAUCUCUUGGCUCGUGCAUCGAUGAAGAACGCAGCCAGGUGCGAUAAUUAGUGUGAAUUGCAGAAUUCAGUGAAUCAUCGAAUCUUUGAACGCAAAUGGCGCUCUUGGGUUUUCCCAGGAGCACGUCUGUCUGAGUGUCGGUUUCAAAAAACUACCAGCGCACGCGUAACUGCCUGCGUUGGGCGUUGAGGCGUCGCGGCCCCCGCUUCCUUGAUUGCGAUCGGCGGGCCUCGUCCCUUGAAGUGCAGUACGGCCGAACGGCGAGACACUUCGUGUCGCCGCGUUCGGGGAGGCCAAAAGCAAAAACUUUGCCCUUCCUCGAGGCGGCACGGGUCACACACCGCUUGCGUCGAGUGAGUCGAGCACGCACGCACGCACGCGUUCUCGACAAACGACAAACAACAUUCUUGACCUCAGAUCAGGCGAGACUACCCGCUGAAUUUAAGCAUAUUAAUAAGCGGAGGAAAAGAAACUAACAAGGAUUCC